GUUGAAUCAUUGUGAGAGACUGUAAGGGCAGCAAAAUGAAGAUAACAACGGACACUUGGAAGAAAACAUUUGCUGUCACUGACCUUAGCAUACGGCCACAUGGCCUAGGAUCACAGCUUGGAGGUGACCUUGGGCUUCAAGUCAAAACCCUAUGAUGAAACAUGCCUUCCGGUCUUCCACCGUGAGUAUUUGAAGCACAUUCAUGGACUCACUGAACAUAUUUACCAGGCCCCUUUAAGUGCCACACAUAGCCAAGUAUUGAGAUAAAUAGGAUUUUAUUUCUUCCCCUUGGGCAUUAGAAAUGUGUCCUUAGCCACUUCCUAUCUCACCCAAAAUAAAAGGUAAACUUUGACGGUUAGGCCUUAAUAAUGAAAGGGACAUCCUGGCCUGUGGCCUGAUGUGUUCAGACAAAGGACCUGGGAAAACCUUUUCCCUCCCUCAGCAAUAGUUGAGUUGAGUGGACCAGAAGAGAAGGCACUGUAAGUGGAUACCUAGUAGAAGAUGCUGGGGGUUGCCAAGGUGAUAGCCGGGGAGCCCAGGAGACCUGCAAGGCGAUGCCAGAGAGGUCUGAGUCCAGGCCUGGGAGCACAGUUGAGCUCUGCUUUCAAGUUAUCUGGAUUCAGAUUUCAACCCCACACCCACUACAAGCGUCUUGCCCGGAACUAGCUCAUCUUCUCGGUUUCCUCAUACCUGGCAGCAGCUAAGUGCCCCAUAAAUAUAAGGUUCAAUGGUCCCUUGGGCAGUGGGUGUAACUUGAGAAUUCUUUUCUUUUCUGGGACAGGGUUUCUCUGCGUAGGCCUGGAUGUUCUGGAACUUUCUCUGUGGACUAGGCUGGCCUUGAACUCAGAGAUCUGACUGCCUCUACCUCCAGAGUGCUGGGUGGGAAUAAAGGAGUGUGUCACCUCUGCCCUCUUGAGAAUUCUAAUGAGGAAAAACAAGGUAGCUUGGUAUGGUUGAAUACACCUAUAAAUCCCAAUGCCUGGGAGACUGAGGCAGGGACAUUGCCUUCAGUUCAAGGCCAGCCUGGGCUAUAUAAUGAAACCCUGUCUC
rnacentral:lncRNA from 1 species